GACGAACGCUGGCGGCGUGCCUAAUACAUGCAAGUAGAACGCAGUUGCGAACGGGUGAGUAACGCGUAGGUAACUGCCUCAUAGCGGGGGAUAACUAUUGGAAACGAUAGCUAAUACCGCAUACCGUGUGAUGGACCUGUGUGGUAUUGGCUAGUUGGUGAGGUUAAGGGUCACCCAGGCGACGAUACAUUGCCGACCUGGGAGGGUGGUCGGCCCAACUGGGACCUGAGCACGGCCCAAACUCCUACGGGGGGCAACAGGAGGGAAACUUCGGGAAAUGGGGGAAGUCUUACCGGGCAAAGCCGCGUGGGUGGAGAAGGGUUUCGGGUCGUAAAGCGCUGUUGUUAGAGAAGCGGUAACUAACCAGAAAGGGACGGCUAACUACGUGCCAGCAGCCGCGGUAAUAC
rnacentral:rRNA from 1 species